AGUGAACGCUGGCGGUAGGCCUAACACAUGCGAGUCGAACGGCAGCACAGUAAGAGCUUGCUCUUACGGGUGGCGAGUGGCGGACGGGUGAGGAAUACAUCGGAAUCUACUUUUUCGUGGGGGAUAACGUAGGGAAACUUACGCUAAUACCGCAUACGACCUACGGGUGAAAGCAGGGGAUCUUCGGACCUUGCGCGAUUGAAUGAGCCGAUGUCGGAUUAGCUAGUUGGCGGGGUAAAGGCCCACCAAGGCGACGAUCCGUAGCUGGUCUGAGAGGAUGAUCAGCCAGACUGGAACUGAGACACGGUCCAGACUCCUACGGGAGGCAGCAGUGGGGAAUAUUGGACAAUGGGCGCAAGCCUGAUCCAGCCAUACCGCGUGGGUGAAGAAGGCCUUCGGGUUGUAAAGCCCUUUUGUUGGGAAAGAAAAGCAGCAGGUUAAUACCCCGCUGUUCUGACGGUACCCAAAGAAUAAGCACCGGCUAACUUCGUG
rnacentral:rRNA from 1 species